AUUGAACGCUGGCGGCAGGCUUAACACAUGCAAGUCGAGCGGAGAUGAGGUGCUUGCACCUUAUCUUAGCGGCGGACGGGUGAGUAAUGCUUAGGAAUCUGCCUAUUAGUGGGGGACAACAUUCCGAAAGGGAUGCUAAUACCGCAUACGUCCUACGGGAGAAAGCAGGGGAUCUUCGGACCUUGCGCUAAUAGAUGAGCCUAAGUCGGAUUAGCUAGUUGGUGGGGUAAAGGCCUACCAAGGCGACGAUCUGUAGCGGGUCUGAGAGGAUGAUCCGCCACACUGGGACUGAGACACGGCCCAGACUCCUACGGGAGGCAGCAGUGGGGAAUAUUGGACAAUGGGGGGAAACCCCUGAUCCCAGCCAUGCCCGCGUGUGUGAAAGAAAGGGCCCUUAAUGGGUUGUAAAAGCCACCUUAAAGCGAAGGAAGGAGGGCUAACUGA
rnacentral:rRNA from 1 species